UAAAUUGACCAAAGUUUUUUGUUAGAGUUCUGGGAAGAGCAGCAACUUAUGAAAGGGCUGAAGAAAGGGUAACAAAAGCCUUGAGUCAAUCAGACAUUGGCAUGACUGACCAAGAUGCUCCAGUGCGCAAACAAACCUUAAAGACGAAUAAACAUGGGCGUUUCAUUACUUCAAAGCGAAUUUUUUCAGAUUCUGAUACUGACAAUGAAGAAUCUCCUAGAAAAAAGUCAAAUAUGCUGCAACCUCCCAGUCCACCUCCAAGAAUAAAUUCUAAUGUUCAAUAUAAUUCUUCAAGUUCUACAUCUGUUCAAUCAUUACAAAUCACUCCUCGUCGUCCGCCUUGUACAACAAAUUCUCCCUGCUGCUUUUUCUGUUAGACACGUUUCACCAGCAACUUGCAGUACGCCUACUACUAGUUCAAGCAGUCAGCACACACCAUUUACUGCUCAUGACACAACUCUUGUUUCUGUAGCUGAAGUUGUUCCUGAUAAUGGCCAAGAUAUCCAAGGUUAGUAUAAUAUUAGAUGUGUUGUAAAGCCUAAUUUAAUUAAGUUUCUUGGCUGUAGUCUUUACUAAAUUAUAUAUUUAUUUUAUUUCUGAUAUUUGCACCUUGCUUACUGACGUGCCGAGCUCUUCGUCAUUAUCAGCAAUUGGUUUUCGUUCAGGAGGCUCAAAUUUGAGACCUUAUCUCGAAGCAAUUCUAAAAACUUUACAGGAAAUAAAAAUCACCCAAACUAUUCAUGGAAAUAUUUUAAAUGCUUUGGUGCAACAACAAAAUGUGGUUUCUCAUUUGAGCAGUCUUGGAGGACGGAAAGUUUUUGAAGCUGUAGCAAGGAUGAUGAAAGCAGUGAUGCCAGAUUACGUAGCUUUCCAAUUUAAUUAUAGUGGAACAAACAAUAAAAAAGGAAUAAAGGGAACUGAAUUUUUCAAUAUAUUGUGCAGUGCUGUUCAGCAAAAUGUGCUCACUUCGAGUGCAACUGCGAAAGAUAUCGAGAUAGCUAUAGGUAAAUGGUUUACUGGGGCGCAAGAUCGGGGUGGAAAACGAGCGGAAAGAGCCAAAAGAACAAAGGAAACGAGGCUACGUCAAGAGGGAGAAACAACCUGAAAGCAGGAAGUGAUUAUAAUAUAAAUUCAUGCAUCAAUGCAAAUUUGUUGCCUGCUAUGUACAUUUUUUUUGCUGUUUUAUUACUUGAUGUACAUAUCUCUUUUUUUUGAAUAUUUCUAUAACUGGUGUUUCUUGUUAAGUUUGAGAACAUUUUUAUUUACAUUAUAUACUUGAUU